rnacentral:rRNA from 1 species
UACGUAGGUGGCGAGCGUUAACCGGAAUGAUUGGGCGUAAAGGGUGCGUAGGCGGUCCGGAAAGUCAGCGGUAAAAGCCCGGGGCUCAACCCCGGCCCGCCGUUGAAACUGGCAGUCUCGAGUUGGAGAGAAGUAUGCGGAAUGCGCGGUGUAGCGGUGAAAUGCAUAGAUAUCACGCAGAACCCCGAUUGCGAAGGCAGCAUACCGGCGCUCAACUGACGCUGAGGCACGAAAGUGCGGGUAUCGAACAGG